CCCACUGCCAAAUGCGCCAUCCCCGCCUUUGGACGGCGCGAUAAGCUUGGCAGUCAAUUUGCUUGACACCUCACGUUCAUCAAUGGGUUGCUGCCACAUCUGCACAGCAGCAGCUUCUCGGAUCGCUCACUCUGCACCUCGUCGAGGUUUUUUAGUUGUCUCUUAUUUGCUGGUGUUUUUUUGUAUUUUCCAAAGGCCUUUUUGUCCUCGUCGACGAAUCAAUCUGGCCAAAUUGAAACAGUCCCGAGAAAUUCAAGCGUAAAAACCGAAUCGAAGUCGGAAAGAAGACAGUUUUUGGGAGAACGAGAGGCGGCAGCGCAGCUCAGGCAGGUGCCUCGUUUUUUGGAUUCAUCUUCAUUGUGGAGGGAGCAUAGGCAUCGAAACCCCUUGCCACACUGAGAGAAAUCGAGUAAAGUGACGCCUAAUGGACGCCUCUUGAGCACACAAUGCCCGAAACAAAAGCUGGUCGCCGAAGUCUCGUUAUCAUUUUAAUCCGAGGAGUGCGGGAACGGAGCGUUUCCUUUGAAUGAAACCCAAAACCGGAGCAGCCACCAUUCCUGAUCCUCAGAUCUUCCGAUCCCUAUCCCUAUCCCGAGUUCCGAGUCCCGAUUUCUGCUUGGCCGUUGCAUCAAGCGUGAAAAUACCGCGAAAUUCCUUUUGUCUGCAAAAACUCAGCUCGCUUAUUUGCUUCAGUUUCAGUUGGCUUUUGUGUGUCUGCUUUGAAAGUUUUUGGCUUUUUAAGCCGCAGCGCUGGAAAUGAUCGAAAUGUAAACAAAAAAUAAGCGUUAACAUGGCAACAAUGAAGUCCCGCUG